AAAAAAAAAAAAAAAAAAAUUAAAAAAUUAAAAAAAUAACAUAGGAAUAUAUUUAUAAAUAUCAAAACACUUAUUAAAAACAAGCUUAUUUUCCAAUAAAAUUAUAAAUUUCUUUUUAUUAAAAAAAAUGGGAGAAAGUGAAAAUGUAAUAUAUGAAAAAAAUGAAUGUUAUUACAAUAGUGAAAAUGACACAAUCGAUAACUUAAAAGGAAAAAAUAAAAGUGAAACAAAUUUUGAAAUAGCCAACACAACAGUUUUAAAUGAAGAAAGUUGUUUCAGAAAAAAUCAAGAAAUGUUUGGAAUAAAAUUGUAUGACAAUGAUAUUAAAUAUACUGAUAGUAUGGAACAAAUUGUGUAUAAAAUUAUAAAUAAAAAAAAUCUUCAGUAUUAUAAAACAUACUCUUCUUUCUUAGUAUAUUUAAAUAAAGAAACAACACAAAAUGAUUCGGAUGAAUAUUCUAAUGAACUAAAUGAUUGUAGUGACAAUAUACAAACAUGUACUAACACUAUGCAAACAUAUACAGAUGUAUCAACCAAUAGCAAUGAUGUGCACGCAACAAAAUUACCUAACGAAUAUAGUAAUAAUAAUAAAAAAGUAUUUUUUAAAAUUCAAAUCGAUUAUGCACAUAUGAGCAUUUUUUAUAAUGUAAUUCAGAAACAAGUGAUAGAAAAACUUUUAUUACUUUGUAUUAAUAAAUAUAAACAAAAAAAAAAAAAUAAUAAAAACAAACAGCAAAUAAGUAAUCAACUUAUAAAUAGUGAUAUCAAUAACGAAAAUAACAAUCAUUGUUUUCAAACAGAAGAUAGCACUUUAAACCUCCCUACAAAAAAUAAAAAUACAAUUAAUACUACUUCUGAUUUAUAUAAUUUUAUUAAUAAUAAAUUAAAUUUGGAAAAAUAUUCGAUUAAUGUUGUAAAGGAUCAAUUUAAUCAUAAGUAUAUUUCCGAUUCAACUAUGGUACAUAAAGCGAAUAAAGUUACUGAUGAGUAUAAAUAUGUUAUUAAUUGUUUUUUUAAUAUAGACAUAGUAAGAAAUGUUUAA
rnacentral:lncRNA from 1 species